rnacentral:rRNA from 1 species
CACAGAGGUCUCAAGCGUUGUUCGGAUUCUUGGGCGUAAAGGGUGCGUAGGCGGCGCGGUAAGUCGGGUGUGAAAUCUCGGGGCUUAACUCCGAAACUGCAUUCGAUACUGCCGUGCUUGAGGACUGGAGAGGAGACUGGAAUUUACGGUGUAGCGGUGAAAUGCGUAGAUAUCGUAAGGAAGACCAGUGGCGAAGGCGGGUCUCUGGACAGUUCCUGACGCUGAGGCACGAAGGCCAGGGGAGCAAACGGG